rnacentral:misc_RNA from 1 species
CAGAACUAUAAUUUCGUUCCGUAGCAGAUCAAUCGUUGUUCUUUUCCGGUUCCAUCUGUUCGCCGGUGAUCGGAGAUCUGUGAGAUUCUCACGAUGCUGAAUUUCUUAAAAGGCGUCGUCAGUGGAUCUGGAACAGGCCUCAAAGAUCUGCCAUACAAUAUCGGUGAACCUUAUUCAUCUGCUUGGGGCUCUUGGAUUCAUUACCGUGGCACUUCUAAGGAUGAUGGGACUCCUGUGUCAGUAUUUGCUCUCUCAGGAAGUAGCACAAAUGAUGGACAUCUAGCUGCUGGAAGGAAUGGAGUCAAGAGACUUCGUACAGUUAGGCAUCCAAAUAUUUUGUCAUUUCUCCACAGCACUGAAGCUGAAAAUUUUGAUGGUUCUUCUGCCAAAGUUACCAUCUAUAUUGUUACUGAACCUGUCAUGCCACUCGCUGAGAAGCUUAAGGAAUUAGGAUUAAAAGGUACCCAGAGGGACGAGUAUUAUGCUUGGGGGUUGCAUCGAAUAGCCAAAGCUGUGAGCUUCUUAAAUAACGACUGCAAACUUGUUCAUGGAAAUGUUUGUCUGGCUAGUGUUGUUGUUACGCAAACUCUGGACUGGAAAUUGCACGCCUUUGAUGUGCUUUCUGAGUUUGAUGGACACAAUGAAUCUGCUGUUGGACCAAUGCUGCAAUAUGAUUGGCUUAUUGGUGCACAAUACAAAUCAAAGGAACUGCUGAAGUCUGACUGGACCACAAUCCGAAAGUCUCCACCUUGGACUAUAGAUUCUUGGGGUUUGGGCUGUCUUAUCUAUGAACUGUUUUCUGGCACCAAGUUGAGCAAAACAGAGGACCUGUGCAAUACUGCUUCUAUUCCAAAGUCUCUACUUCCAGAUUAUCAGCGUCUCUUGAGCUCUAUGCCCCCUCGCAGGUUAAAUUCAUCCAAGCUUCUUGAAAAUAGUGAAUAUUUCCAAAAUAAGUUGGUGGAGACUAUUCAAUUCAUGGAAAUACUUAAUCUUAAGGAUAGUGUAGAAAAAGACACUUUCUUCCGUAAGCUUCCAAAUCUAGCAGAGCAACUUCCUCGCGAAAUUGUGCUGAAGAAGUUGCUUCCUUUGCUAGCUUCUGCAUUAGAAUUUGGUUCAGCUGCUGCUCCU